AAUGAACGCUGGCGGCAUGCCUUACACAUGCAAGUCGAACGGCAGCAUGACCUAGCUUGCUAGGUUGAUGGCGAGUGGCGAACGUGUGAGUAAUGCAUCGGAACGUGCCUUUUAGUGGGGGAUAACGUAGCGAAAGUUACGCUAAUACCGCAUAUUCUCUGAGGCGGAAAGCAGGGGACCUUCGGGCCUUGCGCUAGAAGAGCGGCCGAUGUCGGAUUAGCUAGUUGGUGAGGUAAAGGCUCACCAAGGCAGCGAUCCGUAGCGGGUAUGAGAGGAUGAUCCGCCACACUGAGACUGAGACACGGCCGAGACUCCUACAGGAGGCAGCAGUGGGGAAUUUUGGACGAUGGGGGAGAGCCGGAUCCAGCCAUACCGCGUGAGUGAAGAAGGCCUUCGGGUUGUAAAGCGCAUUCGGCUGGCAAGAAAUCGCACCCUCUAAUACAGGGUGUGGAUGACGGUACCAGCAUAAGAAGCACCGGCUAACUACGUG
rnacentral:rRNA from 1 species